rnacentral:rRNA from 1 species
CGCUGGCGGCGUGCCUAACACAUGCAAGUCGAGCGAGGAGAUCCUUCGGGAUGAUCCUAGCGGCGGACGGGUGAGUAACACGUGGGCAACCUGCCUCAUAGAGAGGAAUAGCCUUCCGAAAGGGAGAUUAAUACCUCGUAACAUUGCAGUUUCGCAUGGAACAGCAAUUAAAGGAGUAAUCCGCUAUGAGAUGGGCCCGCGGCGCAUUAGCUAGUUGGUGGGGUAAUGGCUCACCAAGGCGACGAUGCGUAGCCGACCUGAGAGGGUGAUCGGCCACAUUGGGACUGAGACACGGCCCAGACUCCUACGGGAGGCAGCAGUGGGGAAUAUUGCACAAUGGGGGAAACCCUGAUGCAGCCAACGCCGCGUGAGUGAUGACGGCCUUCGGGUUGUAAAGCUCUGUCUUCAGGGACGAUAAUGACGGUACCUGAGGAGGAAGCCACGGCUAACUACGUGCCAGCAGCAGC